rnacentral:rRNA from 1 species
AGUGGCGAACGGGUGAGGAAUACAUGGGUAACCUGCCCUUGAGAAGGGGAUAACCCGCCGAAAGGCGAGCUAAUACCGUAUACGCUUGUUGCCUCACGGGGCAAUAAGGAAAGCUAGACCGAGGGUUUGGCGCUCAAGGAGGGGCUCAUGUCCUAUCAGCUUGUUGGUAGGGUAACGGCCUACCAAGGCAACGACGGGUAGCUGGUCUGAGAGGAUGAUCAGCCACACUGGCACUGAGACACGGGCCAGACUCCUACGGGAGGCAGCAGUGAGGAAUAUUGCGCAAUGGGCGAAAGCCUGACGCAGCGACGCCGCGUGGGGGAUGAAGGUUUUCGAAUUGUAAACCCCUUUCAGGAGGAAAGAGAAGGUGGGUUACCACCUAGACGGUACCUCCAGAAGAAGCCACGGCUAACUUCGUGCCAGCAGCCGCGGUAAUACGAAGGUGGCGAGCGUUGUUCGGAUUUACUGGGCGUAAAGAGCACGUAGGCGGUUAGAUAAGCCUCUUGGGAAAGCUCCUGGCUUAACCGGGAAAGGUCGAGGGGAACUGUCUAGCUAGAGGGCGGGAGAGGAGCGUGGAAUUCCCGGUGUAGCGGUGAAAUGCGUAGAUAUCGGGAAGAAGGCCGGUGGCGAAGGCGACGCUCUGGAACGAUCCUGACGCUGANGUGCGAAAGCGUGGGGAGCAAACAGGAUUAGAUACCCUGNUAGUCCACGCCCUAAACGAUGGGCACUAAGUGUCGGCGGGUUACCGCCGGUGCCGCAGCUAACGCAGUAAGUGCCCCGCCUGGGAAGUACGGCCGCANGGUUGANCUCAAAU